AUUGAACGCUGGCGGCAGGCCUAACACAUGCAAGUCGAGCGGAUGAAGGGAGCUUGCUCCUGGAUUCAGCGGCGGACGGGUGAGUAAUUCCUAGGAAUCUGCCUGGUAGUGGGGGAUAACGUCCGGAAACGGGCGCUAAUACCGCAUACGUCCUGAUGGAGCAAGUUGGGGAUCUUCGGACCUUACGCUAUCAGAUGAGCCUAGGUCGGAUUAGCUAGUUGGUGGGGUAAAGGCCUACCAAGGCGACGAUCCGUAACUGGUCUGAGAGGAUGAUCAGUCACACUGGAACUGAGACACGGUCCAGACUCCUACGGGAGGCAGCAGUGGGGAAUAUUGGACAAUGGGCGAAAGCCUGAUCCAGCCAUGCCGCGUGUGUGAAGAAGGUCUUCGGAUUGUAAAGCACUUUAAGUUGGGAGGAAGGGCAGUAAGUUAAUACCUUGAUGUUUUGACGUUACCAACAGAAUAAGCACCGGCUAACUUCGUG
rnacentral:rRNA from 1 species